AACGAACGCUGGCGGCAGGCCUAACACAUGCAAGUCGAGCGAGGACUUCGGUCCUAGCGGCGGACGGGUGAGUAACGCGUGGGAACGUGCCCUUUGCUUCGGAAUAGCCCUGGGACACUGGGAGUAAUACCGGAUGAGCCCUCUGGGGGAAAGAUUUAUCGGCGAAGGAUCGGCCCGCGUUGGAUUAGGUAGUUGGUGGGGUAAUGGCCUACUAAGCCGUGGAUCCAUAGCUGGUUUGAGAGGUUGAUCAGCCACACUGGGACUGAGACACGGCCCAGACUCCUACGGGAGGGAGCAGUGGGGGAUCUUAGACAAUAGGGGAAACCCUGAUGUAGCCAUGCCGCGUGAGCUAUGAAGGCCUUAGGGUUGUAAAGCUCUUGCAGCUUGGAAGGUAAUGACGGUACCAGCAGAAGAAGCCCCGGCUAACUACGUG
rnacentral:rRNA from 1 species